CUUAAAUAUAUAUUAUAACUUCUCAAAUGGGAAAAUAAGUCCCAAACUUAAUAGUCUGUCAUCAAGAAACACAAAAUCAUUUGCCUUGUUAAUAAAUUAACAGUCUGAAUGCAUCUUUCCAUCCUGCUUCCUGACCCUGCUGGACACACUAAUAAAUACCCUGAGAAAAAUCUUCUCUUUAAGCUUGGCCAAGGUACUCCAUCUCCUGUGGGGUUUUCAGCUGGCACUCAGCACAUUUGUAGAAUGACCCAGGAGGGCUCCAUGGCAACUGUGCCCCGAGACUCCAGGCCCAGCCGGGUCCCGAUGGCGAGAGCGUUGUGGCUCAGUGAAGCACUGGCACAGAAAGGCUGGACUCGAGGAAUCGAGGGGUGAAGAUGGAGUCGGCUGACAUUUUUUGCCUUAAAAAUACAUUAGGAGUCAUAAGCGUGAUGACACAUGGAGUGUAGCUUCUUGCACCACUGGAUCAACAGUAAUCAAUUUCAUGACUCAGAUAAGGUCCCCAGGAGCCUGGCAGAAUGUACAUCUCCCUCUCCCUUCAGAGCCUUACAUAUAAUCUUCUCAUGACGAUGGCAAACAGAUAUAUUUUAAAUUACACGUAACAAUUAUACAUAGUGUAUAUCCAGAUCCGUCUGCAGGCGAACUCCGCAUCAGUUCCACAUAUAAGCCUCACGUCCCCACCACCCUGCAAUUUCCCCGUCCUCGGAACUGUCUCACGAGACCACCAGCGCACAGACACGAACAUGCCUCUCACACACCCCAGAACGCAGCUGUGCUGGAGUUGGGCACAAAGGCCCCUCACUCCCUGUCUUCAUGGGGUGGGUUCUUGGCUGCCAACAGAACUGUCAGCCUUUAUUAAGAAGGAAGGGUCUGUGUAAAAAUGGGAUGUGUGAAUCAGAAGAGGGGCCCUGGCACAGAGCCAGGCAGGCUUGCUUUAACAUUGAGUCCUGCGUCGCGCAAUGCCCAGGACCUUGCCUGUAAGUCUGGGUGGGGCCCCUAUGGGGCAUGUCCACGUGCCCCCCACCAGACUCAUUGCCCUGUCUCCAGUCUCCACUGUGGGUUGGGCUGGAGGCCACACCACGUGGGACUGCAAACACCAGCCAGUUCACAAUGCCUGCUCCGUGGCAGGGGCACGGCAGGGAGGAGCUGGUAUCAUCAGCGUUUCCACCCAUCUGAACAAAGGUGAGCGGGCCAUGCACCCUUCCAGCUGUGCACAGGGAUGUGCUGAAGGUGCAGGAGGCAGUGCGUCAGGGCCUUGGUGGCUGGGGUAGGUGGAGAAGCCUGCUGCCCCCACCAUCCUGCGGUCACCCCUGGACUCGUAUUGGAUCCUGGCCACUGUGCUAGAGUCAGCACAAGGGACCAGGUGGCUGGCUGCCUGAGAGAGAAAAUAAGUCGCAGUGGAAAGAGUUUUUGCUGCUGCAAAAACCAAAAGUGGGGGGAGAUCUCAGCAAUUCUGACAACAGUAUACAUUUAGCGACUUUUCUGAGACAGCCUGGGGAAAAUGCAUCUAUCACUGUCCUCUUGAUUUGGAAAAAUAAAUCCGAUGCACAAAGCCUUGGCCAAGGGGGUGUGAGCAGGGAUGAUAAGUAGAGUGGGGGGUGUGUAGAGGCCUGGUCCUGAGGCAGGGGGGUGGAGAUCUGCUGGGUUUGCUGCUUCAUGAAUUUGGGCCUUCGGAGGUCAUGAACACAUGCAGGGCAGUCACAGGGUUUGUGGGAGACAGGAAGGGAUGUUUACCCAUCACAAAUGGGUCUUUCCAAUGCGGGUAUUUAUUUGUGGCUGGUGCACAGAUAAAAGUAGACACAAUACUCCUUGGUGGGUGUGCCUCUAGUAAUGUGUAAGUUCUGACUAUGUAGGAAAAUCCUGGCCAGCGGAACUAAGAAUAUUCUUGUUUGGGCAAGGGAACUAAGAGAUGUGAAACUAUCAUUUUUUUUCGCUUGUGUGUAUUUUUAUUUCAGGGAAAGAAAUGAGGGAUAUGAUAAGAAAAAGUCUAUUAAAAUUGUAAGGCUUACUCCAGACACCAUUGCUUAAAUCACUCCCCUUGCACACAGAGAGAAAACCCCUGGCAAGUGCACAAAAACACUACUCAUAAAAGCACGGUGACCAGUGAACUAUUAUGCAAGGCACCCCCACGUGUCCUUUCCUAACUAGGAAGCCCGUCCUUUAAGGAGGGGGCAUGAGUCCCAUCCCUGCCCAGCCUAGGCGUGCUUCUGUGUCCAGCUUUAAGGCCUCUGCGUGAGGAAGGCCACACACUCCCAGCUGUCAGCACGCUGUCAUGAUGAGACUUGGAGCAGGGGAGACGCACCUUCUCAAUCUACAAAAUGAGCCAUGGCGCCCAUUAAAAUGUCAAAUGUCAACUCUAAAUAGUCUAUUGGGUGCUGUCUUGCACGGAAAUUUCAGCCAGAAAGAAAAACUAGAGAAAAGAAAAAAAAGAAAAAAGCAAUUCUCUCCCACCACUUCACUUUUCUUGGAGACUGUCUAUCCCUCGAAUUCUCUUUGCCUAUGUAGAAAAUAACGGAAAAAAAAAUCAAGCAAAUAACUACCAGGUCCUAAGACAAGAGACAACCAAAACCCCAACAAAAUAAGUUAGUAUUUAUCAAAAUAUGUUACAACACCAAUCUCCAUAAAUGUCAAUAUCACUCUUUGGAAAUCGGAGCUCUGGGCUCUUAUGAUGCUCCCUCUGGAACAUUCAAAAUGAGAUCAGAAUAAAGCUCCCAGCAAGGUGAGCAGGCCUGAUACGGAGGCCCAGCCCACGGCCAUCCACCCGCCCUCCACCGCCGUGUUCACAAAUUCUUGCACUUCUUUCCAAGAACCUUCUGGGGGCACAGGGAGGGUACAAGUGCCCUCAAUUUAUCAGGCUUCUUUCUACCAGAUUUGUGUCAAAGGCCAGACUAGGAAGAAAUGGAAAGGAAACUAAGUUUUGAAAGCAGCAUUUCCAUUUCUCCUGGUGUCCAAAAUGCCCACGUCCCUCCUCCUCCCCCAUCAGCAUGGGCCUUCUGUCUCCUGAAGUAGACUCAGUGGAACGCUCCACCCACGUUCAGGUUUCCUCUGGCUCCCAUCUACAAGGAGUGUGUGUGAAAUGGUGCUGGCCGCAGGCCCCGACCCAGGCAAGACAGGUGGGGGUGGCGUGCACUGGAGCUAUGGGGGUGGGGAGGAUGCUCGGGUCUCUCCCACUUGCAGAGGCGUGGGGUCCGAAGCAUCCGGAUGACAGAUACACAAAAGGGACAGCAAUAUGCCUAGAAAUCACCUCCCCUGCGACCCACGCAUCUCAGCUAUAGGACAGCCGCAGGGGUGAUGACAUGGCCAUUUCCAAGUUAAUGUUAUGCCCUAACUUAAUCUGGUGGAGUGUCACAAUUUCAUGGACUGUGGAUUGAUUUCAAUUUCAUCAUGUCACAGAGAGGCCAGACAGCUUAUGUCAGGGCCAGAAACGCAUGACCCCGACAUGUUCUGACCCCAGACUGAGCUGCCACCAGCCUUGAGAACCUUACAGGAGCCACCAGACUGGCUCCAAAGCAUGGGAGGGCAAGACUGAGUGAACGGUGGCGACUCACAGGAAACAGACUUCUGACUUGGCUACCAUGGGGCCAGUCCUGCAGAUACAGUCUCAUGUUCCAGUUACUCAGGACACAGCCAGUCGGGGGAGACGGCAGGAGCAGCAAGAACUGGCCCAGGCCUGGAGGCCGUGAGCUGAAGGUCCCUGGUUUACAUACAUGUGCACACACAUGCAUAAGCAAAGCAGGCCCUAAUGGGAGUGAUCCCUUCUUCCUCAUUUGAGUGGAGCCAGCUGCCCUCAGCCCUGGGCAGCUGUCAUGGUGUCAGAGCAAAGCCCUGAGAAGCCAAGGGGCAGGCAGGGUCCGGCCCUAAUGACCCAUCUGAAUGCAACCGGAGAAGGACAACAGGCCUGAUUUUCCUUUUUAAGUGCACUACUGUCGUUUGGCUCUGGGGUGGGGAGCUGCUGGGGACACACUGUUUUGUGGUACUCAUCUGGCUUGAUUGCUGGGUGUCUGGGGCUGAGCGGGAAGAUGGCUGCGAAAGUUUGGAGUAUGCACAAUUUCAAUCCCAGAACAGUCCCCAGGAGGAAGGCCUGGUUCCCAAGAUAAGGAGAGAAGGUGACCUCCGUUCUGCCUGAGGCUGUGGCAGCUCGGGGCUGAGCUGGUAGGGGAGGAACUGCUUUGUUCAGAGAAGUGAGGAGACACAGUGGCCAGCCGCAGCCUUAGUGGCCCCGGCCAGGCAGCUGUCUGGAGGUGACCAGGGCCCGGAGAACCGGCUGCAGAGCCGAGGGUGGGCUGGGGCUGCAGGUCAAGUAAUUGCACCUUUGGCUGCAGUGAGGGUGUGGAUGCAGGUGGUUUCUGUUGCACUGGUGGGGAGGGUGGGGUGCCUCCCGGUCCUCUGGGGGCGUCCCUCGGGGCUGCUGCCACCUCCGGGGGGCGGGGCUGUGCGUCACUUGCACUGGUCCAAGUUGCCGUCAGGAGUCCUUGCUUGGUCGGCAUCCAGGGACGCCUCCUCGCUGUGCCACAGGCCAUAGCCAAAGUAGAUGAUGAAGCCUGUGG
rnacentral:lncRNA from 1 species